rnacentral:rRNA from 3 species
UGGGGAAUCUUGGACAAUGGGGGAAACCCUGAUCCAGCCAUGCCGCGUGAUCGAUGAAGGCCUUAGGGUUGUAAAGAUCUUUCAGCUGGGAAGAUAAUGACUGUACCAGCAGAAGAAGCCCCGGCUAACUCCGUGCCAGCAGCCGCGGUAAUACGGAGGGGGCUAGCGUUGUUCGGAAUUACUGGGCGUAAAGCGCACGUAGGCGGAUCAGUCAGUCAGGGGUGAAAUCCCGGGGCUCAACCCCGGAACUGCCUUUGAUACUGCUGGUCUUGAGGUCGAGAGAGGUGAGUGGAAUUCCGAGUGUAGAGGUGAAAUUCGUAGAUAUUCGGAGGAACACCAGUGGCGAAGGCGGCUCACUGGCUCGAUACUGACGCUGAGGUGCGAAAGCGUGGGGAGCAAACAGG